GCAUGUCUAAGUACAAGCCUCACUAAGGUGAAACCGCGAAUGGCUCAUUAAACCACAUCUAAUAUACUGGACAGUCCCAUUUACUUGGAUAACUGCGCUAAUUGUGGAGCUAAUACAUGCUUAAAUCCCCGAACUACGUGAGGGGUGCUUUUAUUAGAUCAAAACCAAACGUCCUCGGUCGUCUCCCUGGUGACUCUGAAUAACUUUGGGCUGAUCGCAUGGCUUCACGCCGGCGACGUGUCCAUCUAAGGUGUGCCCUAUCAACUGUCGACUGUGGCAUAGACGCCCACAGUGGUUUUGACGGGUAACGGGGAAUCAGGGUUCGAUUCCGGAGAGGGAGCCUGAGAAACGGCUACCACUUCUAAGGAAGGCAGCAGGCACGCAAAUUACCCACUGGUCGAAGACCGAGGUAGUGACGAAAAAUAACGAUACCAGACUCAUCCGAGGCCUGGUAAUCGGAAUGAGUACACUUUAAAUCCUUAACGAGGAACAAUUGGAGGGCAAGUCUGGUGCCAGCAGCCGCGGUAAUUCCAGCUCCAAUAGCGUAUAUUAAUGUUGUUGCGGUUAAAAAGCUCGUAGUUGGAUCUCGGCGGGCAGGGGGCGGUUAGUUGUUUAACGCUACUGUCCCAUUGACCCGUGUUUUGUCGGAGGUUGCCGGGUGCUCUUGAUCGAGUGACCCGGGAUGCCGUCAGGUUUACUUUGAAAAAAAUAGAGUGCUCAAAGCAGGCUUUACACGCUUGAAUAUUGUGCAUGGAAUAAUAGAAUAGGACGUCGUUUCUAUUUUGUUGGUUUUCGGAAAUUGACAUAAUGAUCAAUAGGGACAGCGGGGGCAUUAAUAUUCAAACGACAGAGGUGAAAUUCUUGGACCGUUUGAAGACUAACUACUGCGAAAGCAUUUGCCAAGAAUGUUUUCAUUAAUCAAGAACGAAAGUUAGAGGUUCGAAGGCGAUCAGAUACCGCCCUAGUUCUAACCAUAAACGAUGCCAGCUAGCGAUCCGCGGACGUUUUUACUGUAGGCUCCGCGGGAAGCUUCCGGGAAACCAAAGCUUGUGGGUUCCGGGGGAAGUAUGGUUGCAAAGCUGAAACUUAAAGGAAUUGACGGAAGGGCACCACCAGGGGUGGAGCCUGCGGCUUAAUUUGACUCAACACGGGAAAUCUCACCAGGCCCGGACACUGGAAGGAUUGACAGAUUGAGAGCUCUUUCUCGAUUCGGUGGGUGGUGGUGCAUGGCCGUUCUUAGUUGGUGGAGUGAUUUGUCUGGUUAAUUCCGAUAACGAACGAGACUCUGUCCUGCUAACUAGUUGCGACGUCUUUGCGGCGCAAAUUCUUCUUAGAGGGACUGGCGGCAUCUAGUCGCACGAGAUUGAGCAAUAACAGGUCUGUGAUGCCCUUAGAUGUUCUGGGCCGCACGCGCGCUACACUGAAGGGAUCAAAACGUUUUCCCUUCCCGAGAGGGACGGGUAACCUGCUGAACCCCGUUCGUGGUAGGGAUCGGGGCUUGCAAUUAUUCCCCGUGAACCAGGAAUGCCCAGUAAGUGCAAGUCAUAAGCUUGCGUUGAUUACGUCCCUGCCCUUUGUACACACCGCCCGUCGCUACUACCGAUUGAACGUUUUAGUGAAGGUUUCGGACUGUGCUGUUCGGGAAGACUCCCAAACUUGAGCGUUUAGAGGAAGUAAAAGUCGUAA
rnacentral:rRNA from 1 species